rnacentral:tRNA from 1 species
UUGAUAGAAACCAAAAAGAGGUAUAUUACUGUUAAUAAUAUAAUUGAAAUUAUUUCCUAUCAAU